GAACUCCAAUGGCAUCUGUGUCAGCAUGCCCACACUGGGCCACAACAAUGGUCGCCGCCAAUGUCCCAGUCCCUGGAGAGGUCUCCCCCCUCACCAAGAUGUACUCAGGGCCUAUUAGAUGAGCAAACUAAGCUUCAGAGAGGUCAUGUAACUUGCCCAAGGUGGCAUCAGUAUGUGCCCUCAAGUCUGUUGUACCCAAAGCCUUUGGAUCUGCUACAGCACUGAACUGCCUCCAGUGUUGACACAAAGGACGAGGGAAAGGCCAUGUGAAGAUAUAGCCAGAAGGUAGCCCUUUGCAACCAAGGAAACGGGCUCUCACCAGACACGGAAUCUGCCAGCACCUUGAUCUUCGACUUCCAGCCUCUGGAACUGUGAGAAAUAAAUGUUUGUUGUUUGCUGUAAAUCCCAGUCUAUGGUAUUUUGUUAUAGCAGUCAAAGACACAUUUUGAAUAUCAGAAUGUUUCCACUCACUCAUGAAAGUCCACGGGGACUGGACUUUGCUCCUGCUGUUUCACGUGUGUAUUAAUCUUGACAGCAGACAUCUC